UGAGGAACAGUAACGGAGGUUUGUAAAGUUUUGAAAAACAGUAACGGAGGUUUGUAAAGUUUUGAAUCACAGUAAUGGAGGUUGGUAAAGUUCUGAGUCACAGUAAUGGAGGUUUGUAAAGUUCUCAGUCACAGUAAUGGAGGUUUGUAAAGUUCUGAGGCACAGUAAUGGAGGUUUGUAAAGUUCUGAGGCACAGUAAUGGAGGUUUGUAAAGUUUUGAGGAACAGUAAUGGAGGUUUGUAAAGUUCUGAGGCACAGUAAUGGAGGUUUGUAAAGUUCUGAGGCACAGUAAUGGAGGUUUGUAAAGUUUUGAGGAACAGUAAUGGA